ACUAUUGGAAAGCAGCCAGGCUUAGUUACACUUAUGCAUGCACACCAAUGUUCCCUCUAAACUGCGCGGCCGCGAAGACCAGUUGAAGGACCCGCGCACUAGAUUUUUCAGACCGCGCACAAAAUAAAAUCAAUAUUUUUGUAAUUAUUAUUUUAGAAAAACUAUAAAUGUUAAAGCUUUUGACAAAAUGACGACCCUGGCGCUCAGCUGAAGCUUUGCCUAGCAGCGAAAAUCAGGAACGUUAGAACUACCACAAUAAAGGGCAGUUUUACAUUUAAACACGAAUGGCUUGAUGAAAUCCUUCAAACGGACACAAGCGUUUGUCCAGGAGUAGAGUGGUUUGGCAGCCUCCUAGCACUUCGCCAUCUCUCUGUCCGAACUCCGGAGGCAACAUCACUGGGAGCUACAGCCUUCAAUAAAACUACAGAGGUGGAGUUCUUUGAAAAUCUGGCAGUAGUGGUGGACAGGCACACAUUCCCUCCACACAUGAUUUACAAUGUGGCUGAAACAGGCGUCUUUACAGUACAAAAGCAAUGGCAGGUUGUGACAGAGAAAGGAAAAAAGCAAGUUGGUUCUAUCACAUCAGCUGAGAGAGGAGAACUGGUGACUGUGGUGUGUGCAGUGAAUGCUGCUGGUAAUGCCAUACCUCCCAUGUUUGUCUUCCCCAGAGUUAGGCUUAAGGACGACUUCAUGAUAAGAGCACCUCCAGGAGCCAAAGGUGCCGGGAUGGAUGAAUGAAGACACCUGGCCUGAGUUCCUUGAUCACCUGAUACAGCACACUAAGUGCACUGCUGACCAUCUUAUGCUGCUAAACCUUGAUAAUCUUAAAGCUCACGUCACACUCAAGGCAGUAGAAAAAGCACAGAGCAACGGUAUUGUUCUGCUCACCCUUCCACCCCACACAUCCCAUCGCAUGCAGCCUCUCGACGUGACCGUGAAUGGCCCGUUCAAGAUCCCAUACAGCCGAGUUCUUGAUGGGGGAUGAGAUCUAACCCUGGCAAAACAGUACUUGUGAAUGAGGCCUUCUUGUCAGCAGUGACACCACGGAAUAUCACUUCUGGAUUCAAGUCCACUGGGAUUUUCCUAAAUAACCAAGAUAUUUUCCUGAGGAAGCGUUUGCACCAUCCAUGGUGUUAGACCGGCCAAAUCCUGAGCUGCAUCCACUGGUCCAUCCACUUCAGAUGAUCCGGAUGGUCCACGCCCCUUCAGAUGAUCCACCCCCUGCAGAUGAACAACCUGCAGAUGAACCACCUGCUGCAGAUGAUCCACUCGCUGAUGCUAAUCCAUCCACUGCGUGUGGUCCACCUGGACGUGCCUCGCCAGCUGACUCAGAUGUGCGACAUAUUCCCAGCCGCCCUGGAUAUGUGUCUCCUUGUGAAAUCCUUAAACUUCCCAAAUGUCCCCCCAGAGCACAAAACAAAAGAAAGCGUGUGAAGACAGCCACCCUAACUGAUACUCCUGAGAAGCAGACAAUAGAAAAGGCUUAUGAAGAGAGACAAAAUAAACUGGCAGGGAAAAAACAAAAUGGCAAAGAAAAGGGAAAACCGAAAAAGAAAGCACCCAAAAAGAAAAUCAUAGAUAGCAGCUUUGAGGAUCGAUGUCCCUGUCACACUUGAUGAUGAGUUUGACAAAAAGAGCUCUGAGGAUGAGAGGAGUGAUCCUGGAAACACAGAUCUGUCCGUGGGUUACUGUCCUAGUUAACUUUGCAACCAAACACAGGAGUCUCGGUUACGUUGGCAUGCUUGAGAAAGUUGAGGAUGACAAAAUACUUACACAAUUCCUCAGAAGAAUCCAGGGAAACAAAAAAGAGUGGGUGAGACCCACGUUUGCUGUAAAAGAAAAUGAUGUGGCACAUGUUCCUAAAGGUGAUGUGGUGAAGAAGCUGCCUCAACCUAAUAGGCCUGGAAGAACCACACGGAGACAGCACCUCUUCACCUUUCCCUGUAACCUUCAGGGCUGGAAUGUAGAGUAGGCCUUCUUAUAGAGUAUGAGGCUGAUGUUUUAAUUAGGGCUAUGAAAAAUAACGCGUUAACGCGUUAUGAUUAAAUUACAGGAUUAAUUCGUUAUUUUUGUUUAACGCAUUUAACGUAAUAUACCCACAAUUCCACCCAAUUUGCAACUUCUGGAUGACAAGUUUGUGUUCCAAAAAACCCAAAGUGAUAUGCACACUGCGGGAAGACGUUAUCGCUCUGGAUAAGAGCGUUUGCUAAAUGACUGAAUGCUAAAUGACUGAAUGUUAUCGUUUCACCGAAGCAAUACCAGCCUAACCAAUACCACCUCAACGCGAAGGAUGCGUUGGUCGGCGAGGGGAGUUCAAGUAGAAUGUGCCAAACCACCCUUACUGAACAGCGUAGGGCCCUCACUAAUUCUGCCUGUGACAAGGUGACUAGCACUGCCAAAUGUAUUGCAAAAAGCUGUAGACCGAUUUAUAUUGUUGAGGACAAGGGGUUCACCCAGGCCCGGACUGGCCAUCGGGGAUACCGGGAGAAUCCCCGGUGGGCCGAUGGGGUUGGGAUGGUCCAAAACACCGGCCCACUUCCAUUACCAACCGGCCCUCUGACAUCGCCAACAUCUCAUAUUAUUUCACAUGUCACAGCUUGAAUACGUAAAAAUAGUUCUUAGACCUUUCGUCGACUAAUACCACUGACUGAUAUUUAUACUGCUCCUUGCGAUCUGUAUUUACACUCAUGGUGCCGAUUUUUCAAAAAUGUUCUGACCUGUGUUCUGAAAUGUGUUCUUACGGACUUUACGUUAAACGGAAGUUUAACGUAAGAAAUUCAACAUAUAUGAUGUAAUUUCUUUGUAAUCAUCCAAAAUAAUGCUGAGUGGAAAUUGGUAAUUUUUCAAGUAGGCCAAUGACUGGUCGAUACGUGCGAUCGAUGCAUAGAGUGGACAACGUGUUUUGAGGGGGCCGGGCACCGUUUACUGAGUGGGCCGGUCUGACAGUAAAACUCCCGGGCCACUUUUUCCCCCCAGUCCGUCCCUGGAACCGUUCACCAAAGUUUUGCGAGUGGCAAGGUACUGCAAAAUCAAAGACGCACACUAAUGACAACAAUUCGGAAAAUCGGUAAUAUGUAAUUAAUCAUGAUUAAUCCACAGAAACCUGUGAUUAAAUUGAUUAAAUUUUUUUAUCAUUUCACAACCCUAGUUUUAAUCCAGGUGGGUGUAGUCCUGGUGGGUCUGGUCCUGUGUGAGACCCAGACUGUUCUUGCUGGUUCUGAUUAUGGUCCCCUGAUGUGUUCUAAUAUAACUGGUUCUAUCUGUCAUUUGAAUGUUAAUUAAAACAUUGAAUUAUAUUAUGUUGUACAUGAUUUUGUUCAGAGUUACU